AUCUCUCCAGUGAAUGGUGCAAGUUCUUGAAGAUGAAAAAUAUCUAUCUUCAUCUGUAAAACUCAACUCUCAGGGACUCUCCCGGUAAAGAAAAUACUUUGGAAGCAAAGAUCUAACAUUAACUGGCUGAAUUUUAGGGAUUAAAAUACAAAAUUUUUUCAUAUCUCUGCAAGCUCUAAAAAAAUGAAAAAAUACUAUU
rnacentral:lncRNA from 1 species